rnacentral:rRNA from 1 species
GACGAACGCUGGCGGCGUGCUUAACACAUGCAAGUCGAGCGGUAAGGCCCUUUCGGGGGUACACGAGCGGCGAACGGGUGAGUAACACGUGGGUGACCUGCCCUCAGCUCUGGGAUAAGCCUGGGAAACCGGGUCUAAUACCGGAUAUGACUCCAUGACGCAUGUUGUGGGGUGGAAAGCCUUGUGCGGCUGAGGAUGGGCCCGCGGCCUAUCAGCUUGUUGGUGGGGUGAGGCCUACCAAGGCGACGACGGGUAGCCGGCCUGAGAGGGCGACCGGCCACACUGGGACUGAGACACGGCCCAGACUCCUACGGGAGGCAGCAGUGGGGAAUCUUGCGCAAUGGGCGAAAGCCUGACGCAGCGACG